CAAAGUGUAGCUUAAAUAAAGCACCUAGUUUACACCCAGGAGAUUUCAUCCAAAAUGACCACUUUGA
rnacentral:tRNA from 1 species